GAUGAAGAACGUAGCGAAAUGCGAUAAGUAAUGUGAAUUGCAGAAUUCAGUGAGUCAUCGAAUCUUUGAACGCACAUUGCGCCCUGUGGUAUUCCGCAGGGCAUGCCUGUUCGAGCGUCAUUUCAACCCUCAAGCUCUGCUUGGUGUUGGGCCCUGCCCGCUGCGGCCGGCCCUAAAGACAGUGGCGGUGCCGCCUGGCCCUGAGCGUAGUACAUCUCUCGCCCCAGUGCCCGGUGGUAGCCUGCCAGAACCCCAACUCUCGUGGUUGACCUCGGAUCAGGUAGGGAUACCCGCUGAACUUAAGCAUAUCAAUAAGCGGAGGA
rnacentral:misc_RNA from 1 species